ACAACAUCCUCUUUUUUUCGAUUGUCUUAACUCAUCUCUCUCUAUCUUCUUCCUCUGUCGAUUCAUCUUCAGUUGAUACUAAAAUUUCUCUUAAUCUCAAUUUCCGUCAUGUAACUCUCCAUGGAUCUGUUAUAGCAACCUGAUGAAAAAGCGAAAAAACGAAAAAGAAAAGAUGCUUUCGGGAUACUUAUGAUGGAGAUGCACAUGCAAAGAUUGGGUUCAGCCGGAGAAUUUUUGAUUUUGUUAAUUCCUUCUACAAAUCGAUCAUGUGGAGAAAACCGCUUUGUGAUAUCACAAUCAUACGAACGGGAGGUUAUUGACUGUAACAUAGAUUAAUAACAAAAAGAUAAGUACAUUGGACAUUGGUUAAUUUAUAAUAGCUAUAAGUUAUUACUUAUGUGAAUUGAAAUGCUGACUACGGUUGUUGUAUGUUUGUAGGUUAGCUGCUAAACAUCAAGUAAUUACACUUUACAAAAGGAUGAGAAGAUUCAUCAUGAAUGACAGAACUCAUAUCUAAAGUUAGUUUUAAAAGGGGGUUACUGAUUGCAAAAGAGAUAAAUAACAAUCAGAUAAGUACUUUGGAAAUUGGUUAAUUUACAAUAGCUAUAAGUUAUUGCUUAUGUGAAUUGAAAUGCUGACUACAGUUGUUGUAUUCUAGUAGGUUAGCUGCUAAAUAUCAAGUAAUUACAAUUUACAAAAGGGUGAGAAGAUUCAUAAUGAUUGAUAGAACUCAUAUAUAAAAGAUGAUUCUCGCAUACUGCAGGAUACACAAUUGUACUACCAGAUGAGUAAGAACAUUGGUGAUAAUGAAUUCACACACGAUACAGACUAAAAUAUAUCAGAAGCAUAAUCUAGAGAAACCUCUGAAUCACCGGUUGACCGCUUAGAAGACGGAGUAGUAGAGUCAGAGGCGUCUUCACUACUUGUCUGUCACAUCAUCAACAAUAGUACCAUCCUUGCAAAGUACUUUUGAAACCUUGUAGGACACGGACUUGCACUUUCCAAGUAGUUUUGAAAGGCUUGACAUCUCGGAGAAAAGCGUAAGAAGCAGCCAUUGCAAGAAACACUUUAAUCGAAUAUUAUGGAUUGAGUGAUUGAGGUAAUGGUUGUGGUGAUUAAGCUGUGAAGAUUUUCUGUAUAAAUUUUGAGAUUUUGAUUGAGCGAUGAUUCAGGUAAUUGUUUCUCGUGAUUAAGUUCUGAAGAUUUUCUGAUUGAUUUCGGAUAUGUGUAGAUUAAUUUCUGAUUGAUUGAGCGAUGAUUUCGAAUAUGUGUUCAGCAAAUAAUAGGAAAGGCUUUUUUAAUAUUUCGUACAGAUAUUGGAUUCGAAGCCCAUCAAUUACAUACAUACCGGGUUAAAAUAGAAAGGACGCGGAUCCUGUUUAUAAACGGGUCGGUUAAUUUUUGACAAAAUUACCCUUUCAAUUUCAAUUAAGACUCUCCUUUAUGCUUAAUUGAAGGGUAUUCUCGGAAAUUUUGAGCAAUUUUCUAAUUUGUACUUCUCUUUUAUAUAUAUAGAGAUGUAAAAAUCUAAUACGGGUCAAAAACAUAAUAAUAAAAAACAAUCUAUGUAUGUAUUCCCAAAUUCAACAAAGUUGGUGGCCUCUUGUAUA